GGGGUGAUGGCGCAGUUGGCUAGCGGGUAGGUCUCGUGACUAACAGCGAGUUCGAGCCUCUCUCACCCCA
rnacentral:tRNA from 1 species